rnacentral:rRNA from 1 species
UUCCGGAGCUAACGCGUUAAGUCGACCGCCUGGGGAGUACGGCCGCAAGGUUAAAACUCAAAUGAAUUGACGGGGGCCCGCACAAGCGGUGGAGCAUGUGGUUUAAUUCGAUGCAACGGAAGAACCUUACCUACUCUUGACAUCCAGAGAACUUAGCAGAGAUGCUUUGGUGCCUUCGGGAACUCUGAGACAGGUGCUGCAUGGCUGUCGUCAGCUCGUGUUGUGAAAUGUUGGGUUAAGUCCCGCAACGAGCGCAACCCUUAUCCUUUGUUGCCAGCGGUCAGGCCGGGAACUCAAAGGAGACUGCCAGUGAUAAACUGGAGGAAGGUGGGGAUGACGUCAAGUCAUCAUGGCCCUUACGAGUAGGGCUACACACGUGCUACAAUGGCGCAUACAAAGAGAAGCGACCUCGCGAGAGCCAAGCGGACCUCAUAAAGUGCGUCGUAGUCCGGAUUGGAGUCUGCAACUCGACUCCAUGAAGUCGGAAUCGCUAGUAAUCGUAGAUCAGAAUGCUACGGUGAAUACGUUCCCGGGCCUUGUACACACCGCCCGUCACACCAU